AAGAACUGGAACCCCUUUCGAAAAUAUAGAAAUAAUUUAUAAAAGAUAUUUUUUGUAGUAAUGUAAUAAAACAAAGAACACUCUGUUUAAACGCGACGUUUAUAUACGGUCUAUGAGAGCUAGCAUAUGCAAAUGGAAAUGAAUACAAAAUAUUUUACACACAUGAAAAUAAAAUGUAUAUUAUGUGUUGCUACAAUUUGACAGAUUACUUUUCAAAUAUUUUAAUUUUUACCUCUGCCUUUGUUUACCUCAAUCAGCUGUGAAUUGUAUGGUGAUGAUAAUAUUUUAACUAUUUAAGAACGUAGGUCAAUGAUAAUAAAGAAUUAAAACGUAGGUAGGCACAUUAUAUUUGUUUUGUUGUUUAAUGUAAUAUUUAUUUUUCUAUUUACUUUAAGUGUAAAUUAUGUGUGGUGUGUCAUGUGUGCUGUGUAUAGGUCCCAUACAUAUUUUAGAUUACUUCAUGUACCUUUGUGAAAAUAGCGAAACUCGACAAAAAGUGUCUAAUAAGUUUGUACAAAAUGUAGGGGCUCAAUUCAAUUUUUAUUACUUAAUUGUUUAUUUAUUUCCAGCAUUGGUAGCGAUGCUAAUGGCUCAAAUCAAAAUGCAAUAAAAGAAGAAUAAGUUAUAUCAUAUUUCAUUGUUAAUAAUAGCUUAAAGUUUACCUAGUUAUCAUGCAUUGUUUUGUAUUUUAGCUAGGUAUUUAAAAUAGUUACUAAAAUUUUCAAGAAUGAUGGAGAUAUUCUUUUUCAUAUAUUUCUACACAGUUCAUACUUCAUACAUACUCUACGUAGUAAAAAUCAUUCAGUAAGAUAUAUAUCUAAAUCUAAUACAAGAAUAAGGUGAUAAUAUUUUAAUUCACUGCAGAAUACUUAUUAGUGGUUACUGGUGGAUAUAUAUACUGAUUUUACCUGCUUGACUACUUCAGCAGAUCAUUGGAAAAAAUAAAGGCUGCUCGAUGUCUUCUUAUGGAAAAAUGGGAACUUCAAGAAAAAAGGAAAACCUGAGAAGAAUAACUAUAUUUAAUUGGACAAACACACAAAGAUGGUGUAUAUUUUAAUUAAAAAGUGGUUCAGUAAAGUGGGAGGAUUGUUUACAAAUGCCUGUUGAGUGCUAAAAGAGCAGAGGGCAAAAGAUAUAUAAAUGGAGUGAGAUUAGCAGUGAGAGUUGACUCACAAGGGUGGUCGGCCUUCAUUAGCGGUGAGACAAGAAAAAAUAAUAUUAAGAACUGUUUAUGUGAAGAAUUUACUAUCCAUCAAUGGGAAAUACGAGAAAUCAAAAAAAAAAUACGAAUAUAUUUGGAACGUGACAAUUGGAAUUGAAUAUGUAAGCAAUAAGUAUUGGAUAUUAUUGUUAUGAGAAUAAUAAAAAUUGAAUCAUU